rnacentral:rRNA from 1 species
GUCUAUGGCCAAGCUACCCUGAACAAGCCCAAUCCUGUCUAAUCUUGGAAGCUAAGCAGGGCCGGGCCUGGUUAGUACUUGGAUGGGAGAUCACUUAGGAAGUCUAGGUACUGUAGGUG